rnacentral:guide_RNA from 1 species
AUAUAAACUGUGCAAUCGAUGGACUUAUAUAGUGAUGUAAGAUGAUAUUAAU